GUGACAGCCGGCGGGGUGCGCGCGCCUGCAGCACCGCGCAUGCGUGCCAGCGCGCCGCAACUUACUGAAUACACCAACACGCAGCGCCACUACAUGUGCUAUACUGGCGCGCUGCCGCCUUACCUACAUAUCGAGAUGGCGGGCAUUCUCACCUUCAUGUACAAAAUCAGAACAAAUAAGAAUAUUGGAUGGAUGGCUAAUUAAUCGGCACGUUAUUAUACCGCAUCUAGUUUAAUCGUCCCUGCUAGAAGAAGUUAUAAAAAGUUCACGUUUUAAAUUGUAAUAAAUGACGUUAUUCCUGCAACACAUUAAAG